rnacentral:rRNA from 1 species
CCUACGGGUGGCAGCAGUGAGGAAUAUUGGUCAAUGGUCGGGAGACUGAACCAGCCAAGCCGCGUGAGGGAGGAAGGUACAGAGUAUCGUAAACCUCUUUUGUCAGGGAACAAAGACUGGGACGCGUCCCCGGAUGAGUGUACCUGAAGAAAAAGCAUCGGCUAACUCCGUGCCAGCAGCCGCGGUAAUACGGAGGAUGCGAGCGUUAUCCGGAUUUAUUGGGUUUAAAGGGUGCGCAGGCGGAGGUGAAAGUCAGCGGUAAAAUUGCGGGGCUCAACCCCGUACGGCCGUUGAAACUGGUUCCCUUGAGGGCGCGAGAAGUAGGCGGAAUGCGUGGUGUAGCGGUGAAAUGCAUAGAUAUCACGCAGAACUCCGAUUGCGAAGGCAGCAUACCGGCGCGCAACUGACGCUCAUGCACGAAAGCGUGGGUAUCGAACAGGAUUAGAUACCCUAGUAGUC